GCGGCGUGCUAUACAUGAAGUGAGCGCAGGAAGCUUUUUUGAUCCUUCGGGGUGAAGAAGAGUGGAAUGAGCGGCGGACGGGUGAGUAACACGUGGGCAACCUACCUGUAAGAUCGGGAUAACUCGCGGAAACGUGAGCUAAUACCGGAUAAUACUUUUCAUCUCAUGGUGAGAAGUUGAAAGGCGGCGCAAGCUGUCACUUACAGAUGGGCCCGCGGCGCAUUAGCUAGUUGGUGGGGUAAAGGCUCACCAAGGCAACGAUGCGUAGCCGACCUGAGAGGGUGAUCGGCCACACUGGGACUGAGACACGGCCCAGACUCCUACGGGAGGCAGCAGUAGGGAAUCUUCCGCAAUGGACGAAAGUCUGACGGAGCAACGCCGCGUGAGUGAUGAAGGUUUUCGGAUCGUAAAACUCUGUUGUUAGGGAAGAACAAGUCG
rnacentral:rRNA from 1 species